rnacentral:rRNA from 1 species
CUUAGCGAACUAAAACAUCUGAGUAGCUAAAGGAAGGAAAAUCAACCGAGACCCCGUUAGUAGCGGCGAGCGAGAGCGGAACAAGGGUUUUCAUCAAAAGAAAUCCGGAGCAGUUUCAUUCGAUUUGUUGUGGAUUGGAUGAUGGAAAAACUAGCAAGCAGCAAGCGUAGGCUAUGUUGCCGUAGCGCGCCCUACGGAGUUGUACAAAGUCAGCAACCAUUUUGGGGCGCAAGCAUAGGCAACACAGGACUGAUGACGGGGUGGGGCGCGCAGUGAACUGGUUUUCUAAAAAGAUUGGAAGAUCCGGCCAAAGAAGGUGAUAGCCCUGUUCAUUUGUUCCCAUGGUUCGAUCCUUUCCAGUAAAACGCGGCGUGUUCGAAUGAUGAUCGCUUUUACGCGAGAAAGGGGGACCACCCUCUAAGCCUAAGUAUUCCUUAAUGACCGAUAGCAUACAAGUACCGUGAGGGAAAGGUGAAAAGAACCCCAAUCGGGGAGUGCAAUAGAGAACUUGAGAUCCGAUGCGAACAAUCACUCGAAGGAGCGAAGCGCGGGCGCACUCACUCUAACGGCGUACCUUUCGCAUGAUGGGUCAGCGAGGAAAUGGGAACAGCGGCUUAAGCCAUUAGGUGUAGGCGCUUUCCAGAGGUGGAAGAUUUACGUUCUUCCUAUUUGACCCGAAACCGAUCGAUCUAGCCAUGAGCAGGUUGCAGAGAGCUCUAACAGGCCUUGGAGGACCGAACCCACAUAUGUGGCAAAAUACGGGGAUGACUUGUGGCUAGGGGUGAAAGGCCAACCAAGAUCGGAUAUAGUUGUUUUUCCGCGAAAUCUAUUUCAGUAGAGCGUAUGAUGUCGAUUGCCUGAGGUAGAGCACUCAAUGGGCUAGGGUGGCCCCCAUUUCGCUUUAGCAACCCCAGGGAAACUCCGAAUACAGGCCGUCAUCCUUAGUACAGACAGACUAAUUGGGUGCUAAGAUCCGAAGUCGAGAGGGAAAUAGCCCAGAUCAUACGCUAAGGUCCCUAAGCAAUCACUUAGUGGAAAAGGAAGUGAUCGAGCGAUGACAACCAGGAGGUGGGCUUGGAAGCAGCCAUCCUUUGAAGAAAGCGUAAUAGCUCACUGGUCUAGCACCAUGGCACCGAAAAUGUCUCAGGUCUCAAGUGAUCCACCGAAGCGACGAGACCUUGAAAGCUGCUUUUUCAAGUGUCAGUAGCGGGACGUUCUGUCAAUCGGGGAAGGUUUUUGGUGACAAGACCUGGAGAUAUCAGAAGUGAGAAUGCUGACAUGAGUAACGAGAAAUCCUGUGAAAAACACGAUCGCCUGCCAGUGGAAGGCUUUCUGCGUUCAGUCAAUCUACGCAGAGUGAAUCGGUCCCUAAGGAACCCCCGAAAGGGCUGCCGUCCGAUGGGUACACUAAAGUGACGAAGUUGCUUUGACUACUGAACCAUGCCUGGAUCGUCGGAGCGAAUUGGAUGAUCGAGCCGAGGGCUGCCCCCUCUUCCCCUCGCUCUCCUUUCCUUAAUAUUCACCGUCAAGUCAUCAAAGCCGUCAACUAAUUCAGAGGGGCUCAGCUGGCCCGGUCGCCCUACGCUACUGGCG